rnacentral:lncRNA from 1 species
AUAGCUAGCUAAUAUGAAGUUAAGUAGCUGGUGAUAUUUAAUUCACAUAGCUAACGUGAACUCACCCCAUUCCGUACAAAUGUGCGCAACCGCGACAUUCAAACGAGGCUGCAAAGAAAACUAAUGGGACUGUAGCGACUGUUGACUUCAAAAUCUGGGGUGUGAACUACGUUUCUAUUCAAGCGCUGAUCGACAUGGUAAUGGCUCUAUAGUAUUGCAGAAAAGUUGAAAAAACGGACCCUCCGUUACAUCGUGACGUGUCAUGCCGUAACGUACAGCAAGCAUAAAGCAACUAUUUCUGUCUUACAAUCUCUCUCUCUACCAGGUGUAGCACUUCUCUCAUCGUUUAAAAACAAGAAAUGGACAGUGACGGGGUAAGGGGGAUACCUAGUCAUUUUUUGCGUCAUCACUGCAAGCGAUUAUGACUCUCAAAAGCCACUUGUUUACGUCUGAAGAUCACUUUAGCACCGCCCUAAAAACCCGAUUCAAAUUCGACACAAACCUUCAAAUAGAAACAUCAAAGUUGUCACAAUUGUCGUGUGUGGAGGACCAAGACGCAGUGGGAAAAUGUAUACUCGUCUUUUUUUAUUGGUGAAGAAGGUAAACACUUACAACGUAUACAAAACAAAAACGAACUUGACAGUCUCGUCAGGCAAACAGCUAAACAAGAACAAUCUCCCACAAAAAUCCCAUGAAAAACAAACUCCUAAUUAUAGGACCCUCAAUAAGAGGCAACAAUAACCAGCUGCCUCCAAUUGAAGGUCCAACCCCAAUUAACUAAACAUAGAACUACAAAAGACUAGAUAGAACAUAGAAAUAUACUAACAUAGAACAAUGACUAACAAACCCCGGACUAAUAAAUCAAAUACCCUUCUACCUAAACACAUACACAAAACACACCCUGAACCACAUAAAACAAACACCCCCUGCCACGUCCUGACCAAACUACAAUAACAAAUAACUCCUAUACUGGUCAGGACGUCACAAAAGUAGACAUGAUUUAUUCUAGAAAUGUUUAGUGUACUUUUACAACCUUUAUUUUCAGUAAAAAAUGCUGUUUUAAUUUGAUAGAAAUACAAAAAAUCUAUAAGAUGCCCGUUAAAGCGGUAUAAAUCAAUAACUAAUUCACCGUUUGUCAUAGCAACAUAAAACUAGGUAUGAUUUAUUCUAUAAAUGUCCAGCAUACUUUUACAACCUUUUGUUUUGUUUAAACAUUACAGUUUUGAUUUGAUAGAAAUACAUAAAAUCUAUAAGAAGCACAUCAGCUGCUUAUCGUUGCCUCUGAUUGAAGGUCCUAUAAUUAGGAGUAUGUUUGUUAUGGGAUUUGUGGGAGGUUGUUCUUUGCACUGCUGUGGUUAGCCUGCAAGACUGUUCGUUCGUUCGUUCGUUCCUUUAAGUGUUCAAAAUAAAAAGUGAAAAUGAGCACUCAACCCGCUGCGCCUUGGUCCAAUUACUACGACGAACGUGACAGAACCUCCCACCUCCAAUGGACCAAGCAGUGGGGUAAGGAGCAUAAGAGGAAUUGUGUGGACUAUAAGGAGUACUGGACUUGGGAAGACAUCUUGGAGGGUAAAGGAUCCUACACAUGGGAUGAGAUCCAGGCUGGAUGGAAUCGCCUCCCAUGGAAACAGGUGGAAAUAGCGAGGGAGGAACGGCGAAGGUGGAAUGAAGACCGGGACUAUUAUAUGUGAACACGGCUGGCAAGGAAGCCGGAUAGGCAGCCCCAAAAAACAAAUUUGGGGGGGCACACGGGUAGUUUGGCUAGGGCAGGCAGUAGACCUGAGCCAACUAUCCGCGCUUAUUAUGGGGAACAGAGGAUCAGAAGAGCACCGUACUAUGCGGAAGUGCGCACGAUCUCGCCUAUGCGCACGAACAGUCCGGUGAAAAUGAUUCCAGCCCCUCGCAAGUGCCAUGCUCGAGUGAGCACUCAGGCCGUAGGGGUUGUAUGCUCCUGUCCUCCAGUGAUGCUUCACGGCCCAGUGUAUCCUGUUCCCGCUCCUCGCACUAGCCCUGAGGUGCGUGUUUCCAGUCUGGUACCUCCAGUACCAGCACCACGGACCAGGCUUCCAGUGCAUCAGCCCAGUCCAGUACGUCCUGUUCUCGCUCCUCGCACUAGCCCUGAGGUGCGUGUCUCCAGUCUGAUACCUCCAGUACCAGCACCACGGACCAGGCUUCCAGUGCGUCAGCCCAGUCCAGUACGUCCUGUUCCCACUCCUCACACUAGCCUUGGGGUGCGUGUCUCCAGUCUGGUACCUCCACUACCAGCCCCACGCAUCAGGCUUUCAGUGCGCAGUCCCCGUCCAGAGCUUCCGACGACAGUACCCCGUCCAGAGCUUCCGGCGACAGUGCCUCGUCAGGGAGUGUCCGGCGACAGUGCCCCGUCUAGAGAUUGCCCACAGUCCGGAACCGAGUGAGACGGCCCACAGUCCGGAACCGAGUGAGUCGGCCCACAGUCCGGAACCGAGUGAGUCGGCCCACAGUCCGGAACCGAGUGAGUCGGCCCACAGUCCGGAACCGAGUGAGUCGGCCCACAGUCCGGAACCGAGUGAGUCGGCCCACAGUCCGGAGCUCCCAGAGUCGGCCCACAGUCCGGAGCUCCCAGAGUCGGCCCACAGUCCGGAGCUCCCAGAGUCGGCCCACAGUCCGGAGCUCCCAGAGUCGACCCACAGUCCGGAGCUCCCAGAGUCGCUCUUCUGCCCGAGGUCUACAGCGAAGCGCUUCAGCCCGAGGUCUACAGCGAGGCGCUUCAGCCAAAGGUAUUCUGCGGGGGUGGACAGGUUAGGUGGUGGACUAAGGCCAGAACCUGAGCCACCUC